UUGCCUACGGGGGGCAGCAGUAGGGAAUCUUCCACAAUGGACGAAAGUCUGAUGGAGCAACGCCGCGUGAGUGAAGAAGGGUUUCGGCUCGUAAAGCUCUGUUGGUAGUGAAGAAAGAUAGAGGUAGUAACUGGCCCUUAUUUGACGGUAAUUACUUAGAAAGUCACGGCUAACUACGUGCCAGCAGCCGCGGGAAUACGUAGGUGGCAAGCGUUGUCCGGAAUUACUGGGCGUAAGGAGAGCGUAGGCGGCAUUACAAGUCUCAUGUGAAAUACCCGGGCUUAACUUGGGGGUUGCAUGGGAAA
rnacentral:rRNA from 1 species